rnacentral:tRNA from 1 species
GCCUGUGUGGAGAAAUUGGUAAACUCAGCAGAUUCAAAAUCUGCCGCUUCACGGCUUGUCGGUUCGAGUCCGACCACAGGUACCA